rnacentral:rRNA from 1 species
GAUGAACGCUGGCGGCGUGCCUAAUACAUGCAAGUCGAGCGAACGGACGCGAAGCUUGCUUCUCUCACGUUAGCGGCGGACGGGAGAGAAACACGUGGAUCACCCACCUAUAAGUCUGGGAUAACCUCGGGAAAGCGGCGCUAAUACCGGAUGAUAUUUUGCACCGCAUGGUUCAAAAGUAAAAGACGGCCUUUCGGUCACUUAUAGAUGGAUCCGCGCUGCAUUAGCUAGUUGGUAAGUUAACGGGUUACGAAGGCAAGCAUGCGUAGACGAGCUGAGAGAGUGAUCGGCCACACUGGAACGUGGCCACGGUCCAGGGUCCUGCGGGAGGCAGCAGUAUGGAAUCUUACGCAGUGGUGGAAAGUCUGACAGAGCGACGCGGCGCGAGAGGUGAAGGUCUUGGGUUCGUAAAGCUCUGUUAUGAGGUAAGAACAGAUGUGGAAGGAACUGAGCACAGCGUGACGGUACCUAAUCAGAAAGCCACGGCUAACUACGUG